rnacentral:rRNA from 2 species
GCUUGUACAUCACAAGUCGUAACAAGGUAACCCGAAGCUUGCUUCUCAUGACGUUAGCGGCGGACGGGUGAGUAACACGUGGGCAACCUGCCUGUAAGACUGGGAUAACUUCGGGAAACCGAAGCUAAUACCGGAUAGGAUCUUCUCCUUCAUGGGAGAUGAUUGAAAGAUGGUUUCGGCUAUCACUUACAGAUGGGCCCGCGGUGCAUUAGCUAGUUGGUGAGGUAACGGCUCACCAAGGCAACGAUGCAUAGCCGACCUGAGAGGGUGAUCGGCCACACUGGGACUGAGACACGGCCCAGACUCCUACGGGAGGCAGCAGUAGGGAAUCUUCCGCAAUGGACGAAAGUCUGACGGAGCAACGCCGCGUGAGUGAUGAAGGCUUUCGGGUCGUAAAACUCUGUUGUUAGGGAAGAACAAGUACGAGAGUAACUGCUUGUACCUUGACGGUACCUAACCAGAAAGCCACGGCUAACUACGUGCCAGCAGCCGCGGUAAUACGUAGGUGGCAAGCGUUAUCCGGAAUUAUUGGGCGUAAAGCGCGCGCAGGCGGUUUCUUAAGUCUGAUGUGAAAGCCCACGGCUCAACCGUGGAGGGUCAUUGGAAACUGGGGAACUUGAGUGCAGAAGAGAAAAGCGGAAUUCCACGUGUAGCGGUGAAAUGCGUAGAGAUGUGGAGGAACACCAGUGGCGAAGGCGGCUUUUUGGUCUGUAAACUGAC